rnacentral:lncRNA from 1 species
GCUCCAUUGUUUCAGAUGGUAAUCCAAUGUAUAAGCAAUGGACUGUUUUAUUCUUGGUGCUUUCAAGACCUGAUGCUUUGUUUUGAACAGGUUGAUACAUCUAGGAGUGAAAUACAUCACCGCUUUCCCUGCUCCCGCCGCCAUUAAAAUUGUGUUUGGCAUCUGACCACCAAGAUACAGAUAUUUCCUAGACUGUUUUGCAGCUAGGUACUUAGAAGUUUUUCUAAGUUAUUUAAACUUCUCACCACACAAAAUCUGGAUUUGUAUCUGUCACGUAGUAAUUGCUUGAUAAAUGACUGUGCCCUGCAUUCUCAGCUGCCUCAGCAUUCCCUAACUCCUCUAUUCAUUUGAGGGCUCCUACCUCCUGGACUGUUCAGGAAAAGGCCCUGCAGAAAAAAAAAAAAAAGUGAGGAAAAUACUACACACUUCCUUUCUAUGUUUGCUUUCUUUCACAAUCCUGUGCUGCCCCGUAUCCAAUGCCUGAAGCUCAUUGUUCAUAAAUAUAUUCUUCAGUUUUAUAAUUGUGAGUAAGGUAGGGUAACUCCAAUACCAAUUAUUCCUUUGUGCAUAUGAAAAUCACACUUUAAUGGGGAAAUAGAUAGUAAACAAGAUAAUUAAUUUUAAAACUUCUAUGUUAGGUGCUAAAGACUAAGAAGAAAAUAAAUCAGAAGCAUGGAUAAGGAAGGUUGUGUAGGUAUGGUGGGGGAGCAAAGAACAUCAUAAAAGAAGCAUUUGAUACUUUUGAAAAAUCAUGCAAUGAAAGAUUCACUGUGAAAAUGUUCUUAGAAGAAAGUUAAGAGAGCCAUGCAGAUAUUGGCAGGAAGGGCCUUCUAAGACAGAGGAGUAGCCAGUACAAAAGGGUAUGUGGCAGGAAUACAUAUGGCAUGUUGGUAGGAAAGUGAGGUGGCCAUUGAGACUAGACCUAAAUGAAGGAGAGAGUGCUAGGAAAUGAAUUUACAGGUAUAAGUGAGGAUCAGAUUGGGUAACAUUUCCAUCACUUGCAAGAAUCUAUUGCUUUCUUUGAGCAUAAUAGGAAGCCAGCAGAGGGCCUUGAGCACAGAUAUUUUACUAUCUCUGGCUUUUAUGUGACACAAAAAGUCCUUGGGAACCAGAUUUAGGUCUCUGAAACAAACUUGAGUCCUGUGAAUGUGGUGGAGUUGCAAAGCCUUUGUGUUUGGAGGAAACUUACCUGACUGGUUGUAUACCACAAGGUUGUCUUGAUGUACUAUGCCUCGCUAAUCUCAGAGCAGUUUGGGCCUGCCACUGGACAUCUCUGGACCUCAAUCAAGGAAUAUUCUGUACAAUCAUUGGCCAGCUGCCUAAGCUAAAUUGUGCCAGUUAGCUUUUACCUUAGUAAAAUAACUUCUACAUUCUCAGGUAUGAGAAUAUUUUCCAUAGGGGGGAUUCCACAGUUAUUUAGUUUUUUAAUUUAAAGGACAGUGACUGUGCUGUGAUCUUGAGUGAAGAGUUUAUUCACAAAUCACUCAAUGAAAGCACAUCAGUUUGAUUGCUUGGAUUAUAAAGUACACCUCUAUUCCAAGUGGCUUAAACAAUAAAGGGGAAUCAUUGGCUCCUGUAACUUGAAGUUACAGUGGUUCAGUAAUGUCAUCAAGGACUCAAUUUCUUUCAGACUCUCUGUUGUGCCAUACAAAAAUCUGGCUUCACGCUACAUCUGGCUUCCCUGUAAGUGCUAAUAUGGCUGCCAGCAGUUGGGCAACAUGGUACAUUCCCAUCCAGCAGCACAGAGGACAUCAAAUAAAUAUCUGACUUUCCUACUAAUUGAAACACUGUGAACAGGUCCCUGUGUUCAGGGGAGUGUCAUGUUAUGACUGGUCAAGACUUAAGCUACGUGAAAUAUUGUGGAAAGAGAGAUAGGAUAGCCCUUAUUGAUUUAAACAACAGGGAGCCUACCUUUUGUGACAGAAGUGAAACUAAUAUCACCCUAAUCAAAGCUGAUACAGCAUGGGAAAGAAUGGAAUGGGUGCUGAAAAGAAGAUGAAAAUAAAGAAAUAAAAUUCACCAGUGCCAGGAUGUCUUCAUUCGGUCUACUCAUAUCUAGAAAGCAGACUCAGCAGACUCCAGUUUUCAUCCUCACAAGUGGCAGACAGGAUGAAGAUCACUAGCAUCUGAGUCCUCCUUGGAAUGAAUGGGCUCUACCACUGUUGUGGAGCUGUCAGUUAUGAUGGUAUAGGAUUGAGCUAUAUUAGGAGAAAGUAGAGAUAAAGUAAAACAGAGUAUUUUAGAGCUGCUAAAAGUUCUGAUUAUGGCCACAGAACAGAAAAACAGGUUUCAACAGGUGAAUUUUCAAAGCAGUUUGGAAAAGAAGGCAACCUCCAUUAAUCACUGGAUAUCUCUGAUUGCUUUUGAAGACCUCUCAUUUUAAAAACAUUAAUAUUCAUCCAAGAAUAUGAGAGCACAAUUGUUAAGUUGUAGCUUAGGAUUUUUCUUUUGGAGAUAGAAGUAUAUCUUGCAAGUGUGAUUACAGUUGGCUACAAAAUUUGCUUAAGCACAAAGAGAAUAGAAAAUGAAUAUAUCAAUAAUAUUUUGUAACAAUAAAAAGAAAAAUAGUAAUGGUAAAUGCUCACAUUUAACCGAGUACUUGCUGUGUAGUAGCAAAGAAAUUUACAUGUGUUUACAUAUUUGAUCCCAUAAUUCUAUGAAGCAACUGAGAUAUAGAGAACUUAAACACCUUACUUAGACUCCGGGCCAGCAAGCAAAAAGCAUAGCUGAGAGAUGCUCGCAGGCACUCUGACUUUAACACUCAUCCUCAUAAGUAUUCAUCUCUGUCUAGGAAGUCAUGUAAGAUCUUUUUCAUUAGUUGUUACAAAAUGUAUACGUAAACUGAUGAGAUUUGACUGAAAAUAUGUUUCUAUAUUCAUCAUCUUUUUUGAUCCUUCCUGUAACCCCGAAAACUUAGAUUUUAUAGGAUUGGCACAAAAUAUGGGAGGCUGAACACAGCUAAUUAACAUAGAUCACAUAUACUGGGGUUCUGGAAAAGAUCCACAUACUGAGUUUAUUUCACAGGAAUCUAGGCCCCAAGCUAUAAUAGCAUAAUUUAAUUACAUACCGUCUUCAGAGAUAUCUCCCCAAAUUUACAAAUGAGUUGCACAUUUACUGAAACCAAAAGAAUGGGAAGAAAAUGUAAGAUAAGCUAGAAUAGGGUGGGAGUAGAAUGAGAAGCAAAUUCAGGAAGCUGAAAAAAGAUAUUAAAAUAAUCACUAAAAGAAGGAUAUAGGCUUGAAUAAGGUAUAGAGUUGAGUACAGAGUCAGAAGAAUAGAAAGAACCAUGGGAAAGAGCAUAAAAUGCUAGGUCGAACAUGUAUGUGGAUAGACAUUCUUGAAGUACUAAAAAGAAAGGAAGGCUGACCUUUGCUGACUGUAAUUGUUCUAUGUGUUCAUAAUGGAACAUCCAUUUAAGAAUACAGAUAAUAAGCAGGCAACUUCAAUAACCCAAAACAAUAUUUAUCUUUUCUAUGGAUUUUUCCAAACCAACAAUAUGUAAGUGCCAAUUCAUUAUUUGUUUCCUUUAAUUUAUUUACUUCCCACCCAUUAAGUUUCCAGUUCUGCACUGGUGUUCUGUUAUUGUUUACUCCUUCAAUCAAAAGCUCCUGAGUGUUUAGAGUGUGUUCAGUUCUGUGCUUAGACUCUGGUUCUAGAGAUGACAAAAACACAAUUCUUGGCUAACAAUCCCUUAAAGGAGACAAGCAUGUUAAUCAUGAGAUCACAAUUUAAUGAGUGCCAUGAAUGUAACACAGAAACUGAUUCCUGAUUUACUGACUGGAAACAUUUGAUACAUAAGUAUUUAAAAUUAACAUGAGAUGAGAUUAAAAAGAGCAUCUGCUCAGAAAUCAGGUAUCCACACAAAAGAAAGAAAGAAAAAAAAAAGAUUGCAAGAAAGGAACCCAGCAGAGGAGAGCAGCCUCAAGAAUAACUGACUGCAGACAUAAACAACCACAGGGCCUGAACCAGUUUUCUUAUCAUUGC